GAUGAACGCUGGCGGCGUGCUUAACACAUGCAAGUCGAACGGAAAGGCUCCUGCUUGCAGGGGCACUCGAGUGGCGAACGGGUGAGUAACACGUGGGUGAUCUGCCCUGCACUUCGGGAUAAGCCUGGGAAACUGGGUCUAAUACCGGAUAGGACCAUCGUUUAGUGUCGGUGGUGGAAAGUUUUUUCGGUGUGGGAUGAGCUCGCGGCCUAUCAGCUUGUUGGUGGGGUAAUGGCCUACCAAGGCGUCGACGGGUAGCCGGCCUGAGAGGGUGUACGGCCACAUUGGGACUGAGAUACGGCCCAGACUCCUACGGGAGGCAGCAGUGGGGAAUAUUGCACAAUGGGCGCAAGCCUGAUGCAGCGACGCCGCGUGGGGGAUGACGGCCUUCGGGUUGUAAACUCCUUUCGCCAGGGACGAAGCGAAAGUGACGGUACCUGAAUAAGAAGCACCGGCUAACUACGUG
rnacentral:rRNA from 1 species